UGGUAUUGAUUGGUGCUUGCAUCAUGAUUUACAUUUGAGUGAGUGGCGAACUGGUGAGUAACACGUGGGAAACCUGCCCAGAAGCGGGGGAUAACACCUGGAAACAGAUGCUAAUACCGCAUAACAACUUGGACCGCAUGGUCCGAGCUUGAAAGAUGGCUUCGGCUAUCACUUUUGGAUGGUCCCGCGGCGUAUUAGCUAGAUGGUGGGGUAACGGCUCACCAUGGCAAUGAUACGUAGCCGACCUGAGAGGGUAAUCGGCCACAUUGGGACUGAGACACGGCCCAAACUCCUACGGGAGGCAGCAGUAGGGAAUCUUCCACAAUGGACGAAAGUCUGAUGGAGCAACGCCGCGUGAGUGAAGAAGGGUUUCGGCUCGUAAAACUCUGUUGUUAAAGAAGAACAUAUCUGAGAGUAACUGUUCAGGUAUUGACGGUAUUUAACCAGAAAGCCACGGCUAACUACGUGCCAGCAGCCGCGGUAAUACGUAGGUGGCAAGCGUUGUCCGGAUUUAUUGGGCGUAAAGCGAGCGCAGGCGGUUUUUUAAGUCUGAUGUGAAAGCCUUCGGCUCAACCGAAGAAGUGCAUCGGAAACUGGGAAACUUGAGUGCAGAAGAGGACAGUGGAACUCCAUGUGUAGCGGUGAAAUGCGUAGAUAUAUGGAAGAACACCAGUGGCGAAGGCGGCUGUCUGGUCUGUAACUGACGCUGAGGCUCGAAAGUAUGGGUAGCAAACAGGAUUAGAUACCCUGGUAGUCCAUACCGUAAACGAUGAAUGCUAAGUGUUGGAGGGUUUCCGCCCUUCAGUGCUGCAGCUAACGCAUUAAGCAUUCCGCCUGGGGAGUACGGCCGCAAGGCUGAAACUCAAAGGAAUUGACGGGGGCCCGCACAAGCGGUGGAGCAUGUGGUUUAAUUCGAAGCUACGCGAAGAACCUUACCAGGUCUUGACAUACUAUGCAAAUCUAAGAGAUUAGACGUUCCCUUCGGGGACAUGGAUACAGGUGGUGCAUGGUUGUCGUCAGCUCGUGUCGUGAGAUGUUGGGUUAAGUCCCGCAACGAGCGCAACCCUUAUUAUCAGUUGCCAGCAUUAAGUUGGGCACUCUGGUGAGACUGCCGGUGACAAACCGGAGGAAGGUGGGGAUGACGUCAAAUCAUCAUGCCCCUUAUGACCUGGGCUACACACGUGCUACAAUGGAUGGUACAACGAGUUGCGAACUCGCGAGAGUAAGCUAAUCUCUUAAAGCCAUUCUCAGUUCGGAUUGUAGGCUGCAACUCGCCUACAUGAAGUCGGAAUCGCUAGUAAUCGCGGAUCAGCAUGCCGCGGUGAAUACGUUCCCGGGCCUUGUACACACCGCCCGUCACCCCAUGAGAGUUUGUAACACCCAAAGUCG
rnacentral:rRNA from 1 species